AAAACAUUUACACACACCCAUAAGUAAUUCAAAGCAAUUGUACACUAUUAUUUCAAGUUCAAAAACAAAUCAUGGAUACUUCGAAAAUAAGCCACGAAGCUGGAAAAGCCCAGGGCCAAGCCCAGGAAAUGGGUAGUCAGUUGAUGGACAAGGCUGGGAAUGCUGCGCAGUCUACCAAGAAAACAGUGGAAAAGAUGGGGGAGCAAGUGAAGACCACAACACUAGGAGCAGCUGACGCCGUUAAAAACGCUACUGGCAUGAAAAAAUGAACCUCGUUAAUUUCAACAUAUUAAUAGUUUAUGUGAAGAUCUUGUUUCUUCUAAUUUAGGCUACAUCCGAUUAUGUUGCUUAGAUUUGAACUCUUGUUGAGUCUGAAUUAUAUUAUAGAAGUUGUAUCUUCAAUAA